CACGGAGUUAGCCGAUACUUAUUCUCGAGCUACUUUCAAACUCCCAGCACGUGGAAGUCCUUACUCGCUCGCUAAAGAAGUUUACAAUCCUUAGGACAUUCUUCCUUCACGCGACUUGGCUGGUUCAGAGUUUCCUCCAUUGACCAAUAUUCCUCACUGCUGCCUCCCGUAGGAGUUUGGGCCGUGUCUCAGUCCCAAUGUGGGGGAUCUGCCUCUCAGCACCCCUACCUAUCGCCGGCUUGGUGAGCCGUUACCUCACCAACUACCUAAUAGGACGCAUGCCUAUCUCACAGCGAUAAAUCUUUCCUCUCAGGGACAUGGGUCCCUAAGAGUGUAUGGAGCAUUAGUCCGGAUUUCUCCGGGUUAUUCUCCGCUGUGAGGCAAGUUGCAUACGCGUUACGCACCCAUCCGCCGGUCGUCGUCAUCGGAAGCAAGCUUCCAACACGUUACCCCUCGACUUGCAUGUGUUAAGCCUAUCGCUAGCGUUCAUCCUGAGCCAA
rnacentral:rRNA from 1 species